CUGCAGCCCUUCCCGCACAUAAACAAGUGUCAAAGACCUGUCUGCUCGCUGUGCCCUGCGAGAGCGCUGCCCUGCACCGAGCAUCCCCCUCCUCCUUCACUUCCCCUGCCAUCCCUCUGGCAGCGGGUUUUGUCUUUUUUUAAAAAACCCAGGUGCCAAACCUGUGUGAAAUUACUGAUAUUCACUGAAAUCUGGCUGAGAAGCACUCAGUGCUCCCCUUCUGUACGGGAGGUCACGGUCAGUUUUGUGGCACCAUCACCCCCCAGCCGCUGCCUCACCUGCAGGUGGCUGGGGCUGCUCACCGACACAGAAGGGCUGUUAAAGGCGUGUUGAGCUUCAUUUACUCAAGGGUAGAAUUAAUUUGUUUGAACUAUUUAUUUCAGAUAAAAUAAUCCCUUUAAAGGCUGCUGCUACUCUGUCAUUUUAGGCAUGUCCAUGUCCACCUGCCUUCACUUUGCUUUGGUCUGUGUGGAACUGCAGAAUGUGACAAAAUGGCAUUUGCAAAAAGAACAAGUAAACACAGGCUUAAUGAACUCACUUAUUUUGCUUCCUGUACUUAUGACUCAUAAAAUGAAAAUCCUUUAAUGUUGUAACCCAAAUAAAUUGCCAUGUUGGUUGCCUCCCGACUGUACUGCAAGUAGGGAACAAGAAGGGCUGAGAGUGAGGGAUCAGGAAAAGGUAAGGAUGUGCUCAGCUCUGAUUAAGUAACAUUAUCCUGCUUCUUUUGCUUUUGAAGGGUGGAAAAGCAAGAGGUGAUGUCUAAUCCUCCCGGGCAGCAAACAAUGGGUGGGGAACGCUGAGCUGGGUGCAGCACUUGGCAAUCUUUGGGGUGCAGUGAUGAGGUGCCAGUGCUUGAUGGUAUGGAUAGAAGGGGACACGCCUCAGCCUUGUGACAUGUGGGGUUAAUGGGGCAGAGCCACACCAUGUCCCUCUGAGGGGACCUGGGUGGCACUGCCACAGCAGUGUCACAUCCCAGCUCUGGGCAGGAGAGGUUCCCUUCCUGGGCCAUCCAAUCCCUCAGCUGUUACAGCUCCUCAUAACCCACAUUUUGUGAACAACCACAACUCCCACAGUGAUGUCCAUUUCAGCCCAUUCCACACAGAAGCGGAAAAAUUUCUUCCUGAGAAGGAAUUAAUGCAAGAGAAGUGGAGAUCAGUAAAUGACUACAAUAAAAAUACCCUUCAGCUUUCCUUUUUAUUCUUCCAUAUUUUUCCAGCAGCUGCUUAAAAACUGGUAUUCAGCAAUAAAAUGACCUGAUAACA